rnacentral:rRNA from 1 species
UACGUAGGGCGCAAGCGUUGUCCGGAAUCAUUGGGCGUAAAGAGCUCGUAGGUGGUCUGUUACGUCUGCUGUGAAAUCCUAGGGCUUAACCCUGGGCCUGCAGUGGAUACGGGCAGACUAGAGGUAGGUAGGGGAGAAUGGAAUUCCCGGUGUAGCGGUGAAAUGCGCAGAUAUCGGGAGGAACACCGGUGGCGAAGGCGGCCCACUGGGCUGUCACUGACGCUGAGGCGCGAAAGCUCGGGGAGCGAACGGG